GGGGGAGUAUGCUCUCUGCUUUGGUGAGGUUCAGUCGCAAGGUUUACCCCUGGUGCUGUGAGAAGGGCAAUUUCCUGCUGUGGGCUGGAGGAGCAGUGGCUGCUUGUUAAUGACAUGGUGGAAAUGGGGGGAGGUGGUGGCCAGGGCAGUGAGCAGCACCUGCUGCUUUUCAGAGGUAAGAGAGGAGAAUAAUUGAGACACAAAGGACAGUAAUCCAGCUGAGCAGCCCAUCUGUUCCUGGGAGGAGCACAGAAAGGAAGGAAGGAGUGUCUACUUCCCUGCUAUGCUGUUUGAUCCCUGUUGACUUCUCUGUGUGUUUGCAUUUGUAUGCAAAAGUUCUUCUUGUACCAUUAUCAAGAACAGGUAAUAUAUGGGAAGAGUCUUACUUGAAUUCUUUUCAUGGGCAAAAUAUUUCAGUUCUGUCUUUCUUGUAAUCUAUUUCAGAAACUUUGAGGCAUUCAGAUGAUAAAGAUAUAGUGUCUUCCAUAAAAAGUAACACUUCAAGUAAAAGCAUUUACUUAUAGGUUGUAAUUGUUUUUUAAGUCAUAUUUAUAGGGGGUAAAUGCAAUGCAAUUUACGAUAGUUUAAACCAACCAUGAGAAUACUUCAUGCUCGUAAACUGAGUUUCACUUCUAAACUGUUAUGAAUACCCAAGAGACAAUGAAUUUGCACACAUACAUUUUAAAACCUGGGUUUUCUCCCCCCCCCCCCCC
rnacentral:lncRNA from 1 species